rnacentral:rRNA from 1 species
GACGAACGCUGGCGGCGUGCUUAACACAUGCAAGUCGAACGGAAAGGCCCUGCUUUUGUGGGGUGCUCGAGUGCCGAACGGGUGAGUAACACGUGAGUAACCUGCCCUUGACUUUGGGAUAACUUCAGGAAACUGGGGCUAAUACCGGAUAGGAGCUCCUGCUGCAUGGUGGGGGUUGGAAAGUUUCGGCGGUUGGGGAUGGACUCGCGGCUUAUCAGCUUGUUGGUGGGGUAGUGGCUUACCAAGGCUUUGACGGGUAGCCGGCCUGAGAGGGUGACCGGCCACAUUGGGACUGAGAUACGGCCCAGACUCCUACGGGAGGCAGCAGUGGGGAAUAUUGCACAAUGGGCGGAAGCCUGAUGCAGCAACGCCGCGUGCGGGAUGAAGGCCUUCGGGUUGUAAACCGCUUUCGCCUGUGACGAAGCGUGAGUGACGGUAAUGGGUAAAGAAGCACCGGCUAACUACGUG